rnacentral:rRNA from 1 species
UACGUAGGGGGCAAGCGUUGUCCGGAAUCAUUGGGCGUAAAGCGCGCGUAGGCGGCCCGAUAAGUCCGGUGUGAAAGUCACAGGCUCAACCUGUGAAUGCCGCUGGAAACUGUCUGGCUUGAGUCCGGAAGGGGCGAGUGGAAUUCCUGGUGUAGCGGUGAAAUGCGCAGAUAUCAGGAGGAACACCAAUGGCGAAGGCAGCUCGCUGGAACGGUACUGACGCUGAGGCGCGAAAGCGGGGGGAGCGAACAGG